rnacentral:misc_RNA from 1 species
AAGGAUCAUUAAAAAAAAAAAGGAUGUGCUUCAGUGUGCAUAACUCCUCUCACACCUUCCGGUUGUGAAAAAGCCGGUGGUUGAAUGAGUCCCUUAACCCUUUGUGAACUUUAUACCUUAUGCUUCGGUAGCGCGCUCCCACUGGGGGUUGGUAAGGCUGCCGAUAGCCACAUUUAAAACCAUUUUAUUUAAAAUCAUGAAGUCUGAUUACUGUUAAAUUUAAAACAAGUUAAAACUUUCAGCAACGGAUCUCUUGGUUCUC